GUCGAGGGGCAGCACAAGGGUAGCAAUACCCUGGGUGGCGACCGGCGCACGGGCGAUUAUCGCGUAUGCAACCUACCUUCCACAGGGGGAUAGCCUUCCGAUAGGGAGAUUAAUACCGCAUGAAACAGGGGCCCCGCAUGGGGAUAUUUGUUAAAGAUUUAUCGGUGGAAGAUGGGCAUGCGUUCCAUUAGCUAGUUGGGGGGGUAACGGCCCACCAAGGCAACACGAUGGAUAGGGGAACUGAGAGGUUUAUCCCCCACACUGGGACUGAGACACGGCCCAGACUCCUACGGGAGGCAGCAGUGAGGAAUAUUGGUCAAUGGGCGGGAGCCUGAACCAGCCAAGUCGCGUGGAGGACGACGGUUCUAUGGAUUGUAAACUCCUUUUGCACUGGGGUAAAACGCGGGACGUGUCCCGCCUUGCAAGUACAGUGCGAAUAAGCAUCGGCUAACUCCGUGCCAGCAGCCGCGGUAAUACGGAGGAUGCGAGCGUUAUCCGGAUUUAUUGGGUUUAAAGGGUGCGUAGGCGGCCCCUUAAGUCAGCGGUAAAAUUUCUGCGCUCAACGCAGUCGUGCCGUUGAAACUGGGGGGCUUGAGUCUAGAUGAAGUGGGCGGAAUUUGUAGUGUAGCGGUGACAAAUGCUUAGAUAUUACAAGGAACUCCGAUUGCGCAGGCAGCUCACUAAGCUAUCACUGACGCUGAAGCACGAAAGCGUGGGUAUCAAACAGGGAUAGAUACCCUGGUAGUCCACGCAGUAAACGAUGAUCACUCGCUGUCUGCGAUAUACAAUAGGCGGGCAAGCGAAAGCGUUAAGUGAUCCACCUGGGGAAAACCCCGGCGACGGUGAAA
rnacentral:rRNA from 1 species